AUUCGGUGCUCCAAAACCUGUAGAACAGAAUACAGCUUUUACUUAAUCAUUUUUUUUUCUAAUUUAGGACUGGCAAGGGAUUAGGAUGGCUUAGUAGCCUUGUCUUUAUUUCAGCCUUCCAUUAGCCCAUGACCACCUUCUUUCACAAUCAAAGUAGACAUGAAAGGGAUGCUUUGCUUUGCCCUUUUCAUCAUCCUGAAGUGCUGCAGCUCCCUAUUAAAGUUCAUGAUGGAAUUAGGGAGCAGAAUGAUGGAUUUAAAGGUGUCAUAAAACUCUUCCUGGUAACUGGUAGUUCCCAAAUAUAUACCAGUUGUGACCUGAGAGAGGCUGCUGAAGGCAUCCCAGGCAGCCCUGCACUAGCUCUGCAGAUCAUUUGAGCUGAGGAAAUGCAUUUGCAUUUGGAUGUCAUGCUAAGAAGGCAGGGCAGCACGGAUUUCAUUACUGCUAAUGACAUGUGUGGGAGAAGUGAUUUAGUUUAUAGCCAGUGCCAGGCGUGGCACAAUGAGGAAGCACUUAAUUCAUACAAAGCUUCUUCUUGCUUCUGAGACUCAAAAAUCUGGGGAUUUCAAGCAGCUCUGGGAGGCCCAGUGUUACGUGACAUGGUCUCGUUAGCACUGGGGCAAGAACAGAGCCGUGACGGAGGGGAGAGAAGGAUGCUUCAAGAUUUAGUACAGUUGUUGUGGAAAAAAAGGAUAGGAGUAGAAAUGAAAGGAAAUGAGAAGGAGGUGAGGAGAAAGAGCAACCCGGGAUAGAAAACCAGCAGGUAGAGCUUGCCCCGCAGGAACCACAGCUGCCAAGGCUGGCCAGUUGGACUUGGGAGGUGCCAGAAUUUUUACUGAGUUCUUGUUCUAAUGUACCCAAAGCAAAACACAGAAAAGUGCAUUGGGCCUGGGGGAAGGUGUCUGACUUCACAGAGAAAUUUCUGAGAACUGGGAAAGAGAAAAGGGACCCCAGUACAAUGCUGGGGCUGGAGUAGCUGGGAGCUGCUGCACGGUCUGAACCAUCACAGGGCAUCUCCAUCUCCAGUGGAGCUGCGUUUGCUUUUGCUGCUCCAGAAGGCACUGCCUCAGGCAAGAGGGAGCAGAGGGGGCCUGGGGCACAUCCUGGUCACAGUCUUUGGGGGAGAAGGAAAUUUUAAUGCUUGGGCAACUUUGGGAAGAACUGUUGAACUGGGAUCAGUAUCUUGGGUGGCCUUUCAGCUGAGAGUAAUGAAUCAGUCAAGCAGAAGAAAGCAGCCAGAGAGGAGAGGGUGCAUGAGAAAGAGGAGCGAGUCAGAGGGAUUAAUGACAGAGAUAAGACAGCCAGUGAGAGGGUUGUGUGCUGUAAGAGCAGGCUGAAAUAGCAACUGGGAGCACGCACUGCACCCAGAGCACACGCUGGGCCCGCGGCACUCCCCGUUCUGGGAGGAGCACGGGUAGGAAGCCUACCUGCAGCACACAGCAUGAAAACCUGAAGCAAGAUCUUUGAACAGGAAUUAUUCCUGCUUUAUGCAAGGCACAGCAGCUGUUUUUAGUGGAUUGUAACCAUUUGGAUACAAUCACCCACAAUGCAUGCAAUCAAAAUGUUAUGAGCUGCUAAAACUCACUCCUGGAGCAGCCUCUGCAAAUGCUGUCUCUGUAAAUACAGGAUGUUUUGGGGUACUUUAAUUUGAGCUAUGUUAUUCUGUUAUGUUCUGGAAAGGGAAAUCAGCUGGUCAGUUGGACACAGGGAUGUGAAAACCACCUCAAUAAUUAGUGAAUGAGGACUUACAGUUUGGAGAGGUCCCUGAUUUCUGCUUCAUCUGAGUUGAACUCGAAGGGUGUGGGACAGUGACAUUUAGCAGGGCUUACAGGAAAGUCAAUGCUGCUUUACCGGAUAUUGCAGCCGAAGUCAGAAAAGCUGUAAGACGCCUUUAAAGGACAGUUUUAGACAACUGUAUACUAUUGACUAUGUUUUACUUUGUAUGAGUCAUCUGGAUGAUCUUCAUACCCAGUUACAAGAGGGCAGCAUGUGGCCUUCAUCUAAAGAAGUUAGAAAGAAGAUGAUAUGGCAUAAAAGAGGAAGCAGGAAUCAGCUAAAUUUGCAGAGCAUCUGAAAACAAAGGCAGGACAGAAUAAUAUGCAGUAUUUUCUAGAGGUAAAAAGAAAAUAGAUGAAAAAGACUCUAUGCCAAUACAUUUUUUUUUUUCAGUGAGGCUCUGGAGGCAGACUGAAUUCUGUUGGGGACGGCUCAUUUCUCCUCAGCGACAACAGCAGGUUUCAAAUAAUGCUGCAUAUUCCCCAGGUUUAGCAGAUGAAGAAAAAGAAUUACUUGGGAGGCAAAUAGAGCAGAUUUGCAAAUAGAGGAGAAUGUUUUAUGGCCAGACUUGCAAACAUUUGGCUCCUGCAGACGCCAGAAGACUCUGCAUCUGCUUUAAUCAACGUGGGUUGAUCCUUUCUGAUUAUUUCUUUGAGAUCCCCACAGUUCUUAAGGCAGUAGUUUUAUAUUAUCUAUGACAAAGACACUGUUCAGCUUCACACAGAGGGCAACUUACCUGCAAACGUGAAUUGUGCAGCUUUUGAUCAGUAAGGAAGGUGAGCUGGAGCUGACGGACUGAGAACAGACAUUUAUUAAGCAUUCUGUGAUUCCCCUUCCAAAGUACCUCAGUAGUCUUUCAGUUACAUCUUCAUUACAGCAGGAAGGUUCCCUUCAGACCUGGAGGCACUUUGUGGUGAGUUGGAUGGUGAAAGCAACUUCCAAGGAAAGCACAUACAGCAGUUGUCCUGAGAAGGUGUUCUAGAUCAGAGAAGUCUGUCUUCUGGGUUUUGUUUUGUUUUUAAAUUGUUAUUACUCUUUCACAUCUGUAUCUGGGAUCUGUUGGCCUGGCUGGGCUUGUAAGCAGUUGGCUUCUGCAGACACCAGAAGACUCUCCAUUUGCUUUGAUCAAAACAGACUGAUUAUUUCUUCAAGAAAAAUAAUACACUACCUACAAUAAAAUUCAGCUUCUAUUCAUGCAGAGGAUAACUCACCCGUAGAUUCAAGAUGCACAGCUGUUCAACUACUAGCAAAUGGCUGAGGGAAAAGCAGAACAGCCUGGCCGUGCUGAGCCGCAUGGUGGUUGGUGUAGGGGAACUGUGCUGUCACCUUGUCUUCUUUAGUUUUCAGGACAGUCAAAGUUGGGUUGGCAUGCAAUGGGACUGGGUUUCCAUGUAAGUUUAUGGUGUUCCUAUUGAAACGUAUCGUCCUUAAGGUAAGUUCUUCCUUAAAUGUAAGAGGAAGAGAGAGAGGGAGAGGGCAGCCAAGCACUUUAUAUGGCAUCUGUAACAUUUAAUUAUAUGAGACAGGGAUUUUCCAGGAUGCCAUUGCAACACAAAGAACAUUUAGAUAUCAGCAUCACAGUAUAUAUUUUCUAAAUCACAACACCCACACAUUUCCUUAGCCAAGAAGAAGUUUUCCUUCUAUGGCUGCAUAUCUAAAAUUAGCUUGAAGGUCAAAUCUGAAUAGAAAUACCCUUGCCAUUGAAUGAGCCGGGAAUGAUUGGUGCAAUGGGCUCAAUUUUCCCAUCGAAAACCUUCAUUUAUUUUUUUUAAAUAACAGUUGCUUUUACAAUUAAAGAGCUUGGAGAAAGGCAAAAUGAGGCCUGCUGUAUAAAAUCGUCAUCAAUAUUCUGCUUCCAUUGCAAGGCUAUUUUUAUAGCCAACCAUUUUAAAAGUAACAAGAUGGAUAUAGUGAAGCUAUAGUACAAAAGAUUCAGCAAGAGGCUUCAGAAUAGCUGAGCUGAGCACCAGCAUGUGAAAGAAUGGCCUUAAAAUUUGGAAGAUGUUUGUAUAUGAAAGAUCUACACAACGAAGAAUUCUAAGUUAAGAAAUGAAUUGUUAAGAACAAAUGAAUAAUCUAGGUCUAAAAAUAGCUGCUUAACCUGUCGUUGUAUUAUGUGAGGACUAGGCAGCCUAUACUGCACAAAGGCAAAAGCACCGUCUUGCAAAAAGCGCAUUUAUCAGCCACAGUGUUUUAUUGAGUGCUUUAAUAAUACAAGUGUACAUCAACUGAUCCACAGUCAAAAGUGGCAGGUCCCUAAGAAAUUUACAAGCACUUUUCUUUUAAGUAAAUCAAAAUACAUAUUAAUUUGUUCAACGCAAUAGCCUUUUGUGUGGGAAACGGAAGGCUAGUGAUAAACACAGUCUUAGUAAUGCACAGUGAUUCUUGAUUUUAAGCUUUUAUACAAAACUUGUUCCCAGUAGCAUGCACCCACCAUUAAAGACUUCAGUA